rnacentral:rRNA from 1 species
UACGGGAGGCAGCAGUAGGGAAUCUUCCACAAUGCACCCAAGUCUGAUGGAGCAACACCGCGUGAGUGAAGAAGGCUUUCGGCUCGUUGAACUCUGUUGUCGGAGAAGAUAUGGUCGGCAGAGUAACUGUUGUCGGCGUGACGGUAUC